UAUUGUGGAAGUUCAGCAUAUCAAGGCUCCAUAUGAGUACCAGGAAAAGCACCAUAAAUUAGAACUUGAAGAUGCAAAGUUUGGUUAAAUUUUCCAGAAUCAUUAUAGAGAUUUCUCCAUCUCCUUCUUUCUUCUCCACCUCAUUUCCCUAACUUUAGUACCUCACUAGUUAUUCAGGAUUUCAGAUUUUUUCUUUCUUUCUUUCUAUCAUUGAAACGGAUCACAGGGAGAAUUCCAGAAAUUUCCAGUGCCGGUGUAUCUCGGAAUUGCAGACAAAUGCAAGUUAAAGCAACGACAAUCGAAGAUGCAUGCCAAGACUCCAAAACCCGUUUCAUUGCAGCCACAAUUGCGACAACAAUUUGAAACCGUGCGUUAUGCUCAACCAUUAAGCUCUGGGGCCCUUCUCUCUUAUGAUAUCCACCCUUAGUCGUCUUCUUCUUCUUGUUAUUUUACCAUUUCCCCCUCAGUUUUACAUAUAUAUUUUGCAAUUGCUUCAAAAUGAUGCUUGAAAUCUAAAACUUGAAUCUCAAUAUUGUGUAUAUAUGAUAUUCAAACAAUAUAAUUCUCUCAUAAGUCAUAACUGACAAGCAAGCACUAUCUUUGAUAAUCCUUGUUUGCAAGCCUGAGUGUCCCUGAUGAUUCAGACCCACUGGCUUGCUAUCUUACUCUAGUCUGCGACAAGUAGUCAGUGCCCCUCAGACAAAGUACAUGGCUUUUGUACAACAGUAACAGAAUGAUUACUGAGAUUUCUUGUUUAUGCACCAAAGUUUAAAGUUGAGCUAGCUAUAUCCUGCAGCUACUGGUAAGAAACAGAACCAUAAAAAAUAAAAAUAAAAAAUGGCUUUAAUUACUACGAAAGAUAGAGAGUAGACCUUUUGAUCAUUUGGUGUGUGAAACUAGCUUGGUAAGUUUCUAAGAAUGUGUAUAUGGUUAGAAGAUAGAGGAGGUUGCUUUCUUUUGUUUUUUUGAAAUGGAGGAGGUUGUCUUUCUCGCAGAUAAUGAGCGGAAUUGUCAUAUAUGAUGUUUGAUAAUGCUUAGUGUUUGAAUAUUAGAUGAGCGUAACAUAAAUAAACAUUAUCUUAAUUUCUAAGAAAAAAUUUGUUCAACUUUUAUAUUGCAAUGAGUGCUAGUUAACUUUUGUUUAGACUUUUACAAUUGGCCAAUCAGGUAUUCAAACAAAUAUCUAAUCAUGAUUUAGUUAUAAUACUAUUUUUACUUUCAACAGGGUUUAUGCGAGUACGGAUUAUGAUUUAUUCACACACGAUUCUUUUCUUUACAUUUUUCUAUUUAUCUUUAUCUUCUUUUUAUAUCACAACACUUAUCUAACACUUCUCUCCCAUUUUUUCCUUUUC